rnacentral:rRNA from 1 species
GAUGAACGCUGACAGAAUGCUUAACACAUGCAAGUCAACCUGAAUUUGGGUUUUUAACUUAGGUUUGGGUGGCGGACGGGUGAGUAACGCGUAAAGAACUUGCCUCACAGCUAGGGACAACAUUUGGAAACGAAUGCUAAUACCUAAUAUUAUGAUAAUAGGGCCUCCUAUAAUUAUGAAAGCUAUAAGCUCUGUGAGAGAGCUUUGCGUCCCAUUAGCUAGUUGGAGAGGUAACGGCUCUCCAAGGCGAUGAUGGGUAGCCGGCCUGAGAGGGUGAUCGGCCACAAGGGGACUGAGACACGGCCCUUACUCCUACGGGAGGCAGCAGUGGGGAAUAUUGGACAAUGGACCGAGAGUCUGAUCCAGCAAUUCUGUGUGCACGAUGAAGUUUUUCGGAAUGUAAAGUGCUUUCAGUUGGGAAGAAACAAAUGACGGUACCAACAGAAGAAGUGACGGCUAAAUACGUG